AGGCUUGACAUACUGGCUCAAGCUAAUGUGAAAGCAUUUUGUGCUGUAAGGCUUGCCUUACAUAGUCAGUACAGGUGCUGCAUGGCUGUUGUCAGCUCGUGCCGUGAGGUGUCCGGUUAAGUCCGGUAACGAGCGCAACCCCUAUGUUUAGUUGCCAGCACGUAAGGUGGGAACUUUAAAGAGACUGCCGGCGACAAGCCGGAGGAAGGCGGGGACGACGUCAAGUCAUCAUGGCCCUUAUGCCUUGGGCUACACACAUGCUACAAUGGCGGAUACAAUGGGUUGCCAAACUGUGAAGUGGAGCCAAUCCCAUCAAAGUCCGUCUCAGUUCGAAUUGCAGGCUGCAACUCGCCUGCAUGAAGUUGGAAUCGCUAGUAAUCGUGGAUCAGCACUGCCCCGGUGAAUACGUUCCCGGGCCUUGCACACACCGCCCGUCACACCACGAAAGUCGGUUUUACCCGAAGUGGUUGAGCUACUCCGCAAGGGGGGCAGACUCCUAAGGUAGGGCUGGUGAUUGGGGUGAAGUCGUAACAAGGUAACCGUAAUU
rnacentral:rRNA from 1 species